AUCGCAGGACGCUGAGCGCUGCGCCUCCGUCUCCCAUGACGUAAUACGUGUGUACAAAAGUCACCUGACACAGCAACACAAUUACACACCGAAGUGUCAAGCAAGCAGGCGAGCUGACAAGUUAAAUAGAUUCAGCCCUAAGAUGUCUGCUGUAAGGGAUUAAUUUAAAAGACGGCGAGGUCAGCGGGAGCGAUACCGAUUGAAAUACCACCACGUCGAAACCGUCGCGCGGCCCAGGCUGCCCGCCUCUCUCUGUGCCUCUGCCUGAAACACGGCGCCUUCGCUCUGCCCAAGCGGCGGCUGCUGCUGCUGCUGCUCCGCUUCAUCACCACAACAACAACGACGACGACGUUGCGUGCCGGGAAGAAGUCGCCCGCAGAGCUCCGACAAUGGCUCACGCCGGCCCCGACGUUUCCAGCCAGGUCCGGCCGAGGACAACAAUGGGCUGGGUGCGUGGAUUGGAUCCGUUGCUAAUGAGGCGCUGUCUCUCCGUCCGCCGUGCUGGCGGCCUGCUGCUGAUCAAGGCCUGAACCACUGCCAGCCGGGUCAAUUGCCCGUGGCCUCUGCAAGAUCGUCCCGCAGCAAUGGCUAAUGCAAAGACAUUUGUCAAUCCACUGCUGGAUGACGGUUUACCCCACGCCAUGUCCGUCACGGGGUUGUUUGAAGAGACUUCACCAAGCAGUGAAAGGUGCUGACACAGGCACCCGCGGUGGACGUCACACUUGUAAGAGCAACCAUAGCCACCCUUUUCCUCCCAGCGGCCUCGCGGGCACAGCCGUCACACGCCAGCUCUCACGAUCGCGUGGGAUCAUCGUCGUUGUUGUUAUUAUUAUUAUGGGAUCGCAUUGUGCCGUAUGGGUAUAGACACGCGUGACGAGUACCUCCAUUCACAAUGCUCCACCGAUUCUCCACUGAUGUGCAUCGUCAAAAUCCACCUGCUUGACGCGCGGCCCCAUCGGUCAAUGCUGCCCACAGAGAAGGAGCACUGAUCACUCAACGUCAUUGUGGAGAACGUCCAGGUGACGAGACGUAGCGCAGAGUUACGCCUCCUUCCCUUGUUGCUCUCUCCACACAAACAAUCAAAGUAUUUGCUUACACAUCCCAUCGGUCACGUGGCCUACGUUUGUUCAGCAGCGUUGGCUUAUUUAACAGAUAACACGAGCGUCGUUCGCAUGAUUUUCCACGAUUUCUCCACAAAUGAUCUCCCUCUGCCCGGCAGUGCAUCAACAAGAAC